rnacentral:misc_RNA from 1 species
UUGGGAUAGAGAGAGUAUUUUAUUUUUGAUGCAUAAAAAAACCAUAUGCGCCAUCGUCCUAAUUACUAGGACAAUAACAGAGUUGAUCGGAGCGUGCAGCAACAGCCAAUCCGCACUCAACAUCACGUUGCGCCGGCGCAAGGCGUCAACCGGCACCGGCAGCACCAGCCACCUGCCGCCGCCGUCGUCCGUUGCGCAGCGAAAGAGAUGGAACCUGGAAGCAGCGGCAGCCAGAACUGAUGCAUGCGUGGCGCGACGCCGGCCGGCCUUCCUCCUCGCGUUGUCAGGUGUCACCCUGACCCGGCCGGCCCGGCGCCGAAGUACUGCGCGCCCAGCUCGUAUCUGUUGGAGGCGCCGCCGCCGCCGCCCUGCUCCGGAGCCGCCGGCGGCGCGGCGCCGUGCUGGUGCGCGCCAUCGUAGACGACGCGGAGGGCCGCGCUGGGGUCGCGCGGGUGCCACUCCACCUUCUUCUUGGCGCCGCACAGCCUGUGCCGGCACCGGAAGUAGCUCCUGCGCCAUUGGACCAUACACACAUGACACAUGCAUGGACCCACCCACACGCCACGCCCACCAUCAGUUCUGUGUGCAAUUUGCUCGCCCGGCCGGCCGGCAUUAUUUGCUGGUUGACCGUGAUUAAUAGAGCGAGGACUCUUCUUCGGUUGAUUCUUCUUCUCGUGACGAUAAGAUCAAGCAGCAGAGCAUUGCAUGCACGGUGGGUGAUCGAUGGGCGUCACAUCGACUCAAUUAAAACGAUUUGAUGCACAGGAUCGGAACGAACGAAUAAGAUGCGUGGACAGCUAUAUAUAUAGUCAAAGUUGCACUAACUACAUGGAAAUGGAUCGAAGGGAGAAAGUACCUGAUUUUCUGGAUGUUCUUGAUGAACUUCUGGCCGUACUUCUUCCACUCGUACCCGUCCUCGGGCACCACCAUCAGCUGGCUGCCGUUGCCGGCCUCUGCCUCCGCCGCCGCCGUCUCCUCGUCGUCGUCCUCCUCCCUCCUUUGGUUUCUCUCUUCUCCUCCGCUCACUCUGCAUGCAUCACUACAGUUGUGGCUAGAAACGUUAGCUACGCAUAAAUCGUCGUCGUCGAGAACCUAACCUAUCUGUUGGGUGCUUAAUUACUUUAUAAUCCGCUUCGUCUACAGUGAUGCAGAACUAGUAGUAUAUAGCAGCGUAAACUAGGCGGUUCAUACUUAGAUCUAUUUAUUUGCUCCAAGCAGCCAGGGAUGAUAUUUGAGACGUAUACAUAGGAAAGUGAGUCUAUAUAUAGUUCAUAUAUAGUAUUAGGCCACGCAUACAUAUAUCAUGAACUUGAACGACAUCUGUUUGUGGACGACAAUAUAUAUACAUCUCCAUGUUGCUGCAUGAGAAUUUGACAAAAAAAAAAAAAACAAUAAUAACGAACCAUGCUGCAUGAGAACCAAAGGUAUGAUAAGUUGUCAACCAAUAAUAAACCGAGUGUGGUCCCGUUUUAGGCAAACGCAUCAAAACAUCAUAGAAAGAAGAAUAAAACCAUUCUUUUGAUGAUUGCCAACGAACGAGAGAGAGAGAGAGAUGCAUACAUUGUGGCUGGCUGUGAGCUUGAAUCGUCCAUGGAUGCCGGCCGGUGACCGUACGUCGUCGUCUACGUCCUGCGCCCUAACGCUGCUCCCAUGUCAUCGCAAAGCUCAAGGAAUGAAA